AACGAACGCUGGCGGCAUGCCUAACACAUGCAAGUCGAACGAGACCUUCGGGUCUAGUGGCGCACGGGUUCGUAACGCGUGGGAACCUGCCCUUAGGUUCGGAAUAACUCCCCGAAAGGGGUGCUAAUACCGGAUAAUGUCUUCGGACCAAAGAUUUAUCGCCUUUGGAUGUGCCCGCGUUGGAUUAGCUAGUUGGUAGGGUAAAAGCCUACCAAGGCGACGAUCCAUAGCUGGUCUGAGAGGAUGAUCAGCCACACUGGGACUGAGACACGGCCCAGACUCCUACGGGAGGCAGCAGUGGGGAAUAUUGGACAGUGGGCGAAAGCCUGAUCCAGCAAUGCCGCGUGAGUGAUGAAGGCCUUAGGGUUGUAAAGCUCUUUUACCCGGGAUGAUAAUGACAGUACCGGGAGAAUAAGCUCCGGCUAACUCCGUG
rnacentral:rRNA from 1 species